UUAAUGACUUAUUGCAGUGCCCUACGGCACGGCAAUAGUAGAUGACUCUCCCUUGCCCGCGUGGGGAAGGUUAAGCCAUACAGCAUUAACUUUGGUGCUGGGUGCACCAUUUUCACAAGUUCUAGAAGGUGAUAUAAUGAAUAAGAGACGCCCAUGUCCUGAUCCCUAGAACCCAUGACUGCCACGAGUGACCGUGACCUUUACGUGGUAGAGGGAAUUGACCUUAGUGAGAGCUCCCGGGUGAGGCCAAAGGAAACUUGGUGUCCUGGAGAGGAAGAAGGAUUCGGAAGGUGAUGGGGAGCCUGAAUCAGGACUCAACCAGGGUCUCCAGCUUUGCAGGCAGAGACAGGGGCUGUGAGCUGGAAACGCAGGAGGCUUCUAAGAAGUGGGACAGGUCAAGGACACGUUCCUAGAGCCUUCAGAAAUGCAGCCCUGCUGACACCCCAUGAGAGCCAUGUCGGCUGCCAACCUCCAAACUGUAAGAUGGUAAACUGUGUGGUCUGAUGUCAGUAGGGCUGUGGGUCUCUCGUGGCCACAGGUUAAGCACAUAGGGGCAUUCUGUUAGCAAAGAAAGCUCCCAACUGUAUUUGUGGAGCUAGUCUGUAAAUUAAUGGUGGACUUUGCCAUCAUUCUUCUGAGAAGAUCCUGUACGCGUUGCUCUGUAGUCACACAGUCCGCUAGCUAUCCUGGCUGAUGUUCAACCUUACACUGCUGAGGCAGAUCCCACAAGACCACGGCAUAUAAUGUUGCUGAACUUGAAUCUGGGUUGGUGAUAUCAAGGAUUUUUUUGUCUUGUGAUAUCUUUCCUGGCCUUUUGUAGCAGAGAAAUAUUCACCUGGUAAUUGGUUUAGGAGCAUUCUCUCUGUAUUCUGAAACAUUCGCGUGUCUGAUGUAACUGACAGAAUACACCAAUGAAGCUGUAUGGUCUCUGCUCUCCAUGGACGACUUCAGUUGGUAUAGAUGUGUUCCAAAUCCAAUCUCGUGCGGAUACAAGAUGAUCAGGAGUUUGAAACCAGUCUCAACUAGAGACCUAGUGUCAAUCAAAUAACCCCACCCCCACAUCUGGCUGUGUUGCCCAAGAUGGCCUCAAGCAAUUUGUAGCCUCCCAAGGAGUUGAGAGGCACAUACCACCCCAGCUCAUUAUUUUCUCGUCAGUUGCAGUGAUUUACGUCUUUCUAGGGAUUUAUCCAUUUCAGCUUCAGUUUCUCCUAGAAUCCCUCAUAAACCCUGGUGAUUUCCAUACAAGCAAGAGUGAUUUCUGUCUGCGUGACUUUUGUAAUUUAUAUCUUUAAGUUUGAUCCAGGGUAAGUCAGAGUUUUUUUUCAUCCCUUCAAAGAACUUUUUUUCUGUUUUAUGAAUUUCCACUUUCUAUUAUUGAGACAGGUAUUACUCUGUAGCCCAGUGUAUCCCUGAAUUCACUCUGUACCCGAGGCUGGCCUCGAACCUAAGCAAUGCCUCUUCCUCAGCCUUUGCCAUGAUGCGAUCGUGGGCCAGAGCACUGAGUUGACUUAAACGCCCAUUCACUCUGAGGAUGGGCCCAGCCUUGCACAUGCUCAGUAAGUGUCUGUCCCUGAGCCCUGUACCCCAGCCUUCUCUUCUGAUCAUUCGAGUUUCACUUGUUUUCUUGUUAAGGUAAAGCCUGCAUUUUUGAGACUUCCUAUUUUCUCAAAUAGGUGCUUAAAGCUAUAAAAUUGUUAGGACUAAAAGUAAAUCUCAAGGGUAGAAUAAUUGCCUAGGGUGUGUGAGGCCCCAGGUUCACUCCCAGUGCCUCCCCCGGCUGCCCUGCCUCCUUAUAAUAUAUAUACAUAUACAUGAGAUAUAAAUAUAUAUUCUAUAUAAAGAUGUCUCUCCACCCUACGCAGUGCUUGGUGCUUUGUGUACCCCCUUCUCUUCCUGACUCACUUAGUGUUGGAAAUGCUCACUGCGCCCGGCUCUCUAACUGUACUUGGUUAGAGAACACACUAAGUACUUUAGGCUCUGUGAGUUGGCAUAUGGGACACGAUCUGUCCCAGAGAGCGUUUGUGCACAUCGAAGUGAUGAUUCAGAUUCAGUCCGAUGACAGUGUCAUCUCCAGUUACUGUGGCUGGUGAGUCUUUGAGCACCGGGCACUGGGCCCUGUCUUCUACCCAUGCCCAGGGUGCAGCAGGAGACCGAUGACUGGUGACAAACGGGGGUGGGGAGGCAGAGCCUACAGGGUGGGUGUUCAGAGCAGACAGACUCUGAGCUGUGGAGCUGAGGGGUAGGAAGAGGAAAGCAAUAUCUUCUUCCACGCCCAGCGUGUCAGCUGCUCUCACGCAGACCAUAAAUCGGAGGGCAGAGAUGGGUCUCUUGCCUCUGAUACUCACACAGAGGGAUGGGCCCUAGGACAGAAAGAGCUGGCUACCCUGAGCAGGUCAGGUUCUAGUGCUGUCCCCACCUCCACCCUGUGCCACCCAUCCAAUUCUUUAUUCUCACCCUGGCCUGUUUCCCUUGAAGACACACAUCUACACUGGUAGGUAGACCAGAAGCCUGCCUCUUCCAGCUGGACAGACACCAGUGACUAGAAGCUCAGAUCACGAGGGAUAGGAACACAGAACACAGUACACCAGGAUCCCUCUAUAUAGUCCUGGCUGUCCUGCAACUUGCUCUGCUAGACCAGGCUGGCCUUGAACGCACAGGUACGUCUGGCUCUGCCUCAAAAGAGCUGGGAUCAAAGGUGUGCGCCACCACACCUGGCCAGCUGUAAGUACUUGUUACGUCCUUUGUGGUUUCCCAGCUAUAAAGGGAUUCGUCCUGGGACUCAGUAACGGAUCUCACCCACCCACUGCAAUGACGGCUCAGGACCGGACAAUCUGUACAGUUCACUAGAUCAAAAACAGUUAACAUUCAAGAGAGGAUGCACAAGCAGGGAGCGGCAGGUCUUAAGACUCAGGACUGGGUACCAUGGCAGCCGCCAGUUGGAGGUGCACCCCUUGCUCCACCACUCUGUGCUCUUGGCCUAGCAGGCCCCUCCUUGUCUCUCUCAUUUCUGACUUCUGGUCAGCUUGACUACCUUCACAACGGUGCCCUAUCAGGAGGUAAACGGCUUGCCUCCAGGUUCCCAGCCUGCGCCUUGUCUGAGUGUCUGCUGAAGCCUCCCAGCUAGCACUUGGAGUCUCACAGCUCAUACCGCACCACCGGUGAUCCCUCCUGACCAUCACUGUGCUGCUGGGCCUACUUCCACCCGGA
rnacentral:lncRNA from 1 species